AACGAUCUCGCAGUAAUUCGGAUUCGUUCGAUUUUAAACUACAAUUGUUUUACCGACAGAAUCUCUGAAUAAUUAUUUUGCUGGUAAAUUCUGCUGGUAUAUCGAUUAGAGUUUGGAAUCGAGCAAAUACGAAGUACAAGAUGGCUAUUGUUCUCACGUAGCAACAGUCUGAUAGUAUUUCAGAUUCGCUUGAUUUCAAACUUAGUUCCCUUGGUUUAAUUACUGAUUUAUCAGCUGGAUCAAAAUUUAAAGAAAAUGAAGAUCAAGUGUAGCGCAACGAAGCCCAUUCUCUGGAGUGAAACUUUUAGUUUCUCUUUCUUACGCGAUAAAGGAGAGGUGCAAGGAUUUAAAUAUUUAUAACAUUAUGACCUUUAUUCUUUAAGCAUGAAAAUAUUUUAAAUACAAGCAUAUAAAUAUUAUAUAUAAAUAUUUCUAUUUACAUAUACAUCAAGUAAAUUUACAUAUAUAUUUUCAUCUUGGUAAAAAGAACAUGUAUUUGGUAGCGCAAUUGAGAAGAUGUUAACGGCGCAGAAGGGAAACGAUACGGAGAUACUGAGGGCUUCCGGGUCGAGCGGAAAGCCCUCGGUAUCUCCGAACAAACCAAUGUCAGGUAAAGUGACAAAUUUGUUUUGGAAUAGCAAGAACCAAAAGCAGACGGAAUUCAGCGAACCGUCUCUCUGUUCUUCCCUAAAGGACCUAUUCAAGAAGUAAUGGGGAAGAACAAAUGCUAAUAAAUGUUAAGUGUCUCUAGUUUAAUUAACACUUCUUUAUCUAAGAAUUUCUUCCCUAAAAGACCUAUUCAUUAUGUAAUGUAGAAGCACAAAUACUAAUAAAUGCUAAGUUUCUCUCGUUUAA